rnacentral:piRNA from 1 species
UGGGAUGUAGCAGCUUUACAAGGCCCCAGAA